rnacentral:rRNA from 1 species
GUCGAGCGGCGGACGGNUGAAUAAUGCCUAGGAAAUUGCCCUGAUGUGGGGGAUAACCNUUGGAAACGAUGGCUAAUACCGCAGAAUGCCUACGGGCCAAAGAGAGGGGACCUUCGGGCCUCUCGCGUCAGGAUAUGCCUAGGUGGGAUUAGCUAGUUGGUGAGGUAAUGGCUCACCAAGGCGACGAUCCCUAGCUGGUCUGAGAGGAUGAUCAGCCACACUGGAACUGANACACGGUCCAGACUCCUACGGGAGGCAGCAGUGGGGAAUAUUGCACAAUGGGCGCAAGCCUGAUGCAGCCAUGCCGCGUGUGUGAAGAAGGCCUUCGGGUUGUAAAGCACUUUCAGUCGUGAGGAAGGUAGUGUAGUUAAUAGCUGCAUUAUUUGACGGUUAGCGACANGANGAAGCACCGGCUAANCUCCGUGCCAAGCAAGCCGCGGGUAAUACNNGANGGUGCGAGCGUUAAUCNGGAAUUACUGCGCGUAAAGCGCAUGCAGGGUGGUUUUGUUAAGGUCANAUGUGAAAGCCCGGGGCCUCAACCUCGGAAUUGCNUUUG